CUUCCCGGACUCUUCCGAACUCGAGCGCGCCUUGUCU
rnacentral:rRNA from 1 species